CUCAGGCAGAUGCAAUGGCAACUUAACAGUUUCAGCUGAUGGGGGUAACAGGGCGUGCAGCCCACCAGCAAUGCCAGCUGAGUCCCAGAAGAUCAUAGAUGACAACAGGAAGCUGGUCUCAUACAGGAUUUACCUGUGGACCUGCUGGGAGCUCAGAAAGCAGAUGGCCUGCCCAAUAUCAUGCCAAGUGGAUGCUGUGAAAUUUCACUGAGGAGAGGGAAUUUUGCCUCCAGACUCAACUCCCACUUGACAAGUUACAGGCCAAGCUGGCGGUGCCACCAGGAGCUGGCCCCUGCCUCUGCUUCCUGGAAGCACUGCAAGAGUGCCUGCAGUUAUAGCCGGGAGAUGACCACAGUGAGAAGCCAGAGAAGAGGUAAACAGCAACCUUGGGCAAGCAGGAAGGCAGAAGCAGAUGCUUGGAACCACCCAGAGGUUUUCUACCACAGAAUGUGUAACUUUGAUUUUCACACACAAAAUGGUCUCAACAGUGGUUGAAAUAUACAAAAACAGAAACCCCAAUCCAGCCCUUAGCCUGAUGCUCUGCAUGCUGUUAAGAAGGGGGUGUUGAAUGAUUCCAUUUAUUUGAAAUACCCAGGAGAGGGAGAAGGUUCAUUUGAGAACUUCCCCUGCUGAAGCUUUCCCUGACCCUCUGGGAGGGGCCGGACCCUCCGUCUGUGGUCCCACAACCCCUGAGGAGGAGGAGGCACUCAUCAGGUCCCUUGGCGCCUUGCAGCCCUUUUCUUGGGCCUGCCUUUUACCUCCAUCCUCCACUCCACUGAUGGCUCAGAGCCCAGAAUCCUGUCUUCAUCCUGGCAACAGUCCCUUCAGGGCCCAGCAGGAUGGGGGAAUGAAUAAAUGUGCCUGUUUCUGAACAUAAUCAUUAAAUUCUUUACCUGUAAUGUGGACAUUAAAGGUGAAUCAUUUCCCCCCUUAAACCCCCUCCAUCUUUCAAACCUGCUACCCCCGACCCUCACUGAGCAAAAAAUUGGAAAGCUGCUCUCACGGCAUUAUUGAAAUUGAAAUAGGGAAUAGAACCUGGAUGUCCGGAGCAAUCUUCUGACCUGGAAUUUUCUCCUCGCUUUGCUGCCUCUUGGGAAAAGCCUGUUCCGCACAAGCUGGCAAGGUACUGUGGUCGCAUCAGACCUGCCUUGUAGCCUCAGGGCAUGUGGGUCUUGGGGCAUCUGACAUAGGAGCACCCUGAUUCCGUUUCAACACUUUUGAGAAACCAAAUUGGUAAGGCAGCCUUAAGGACACUCAGAGGAGACACCUCCAGAUGGUGUAGAAAGGCUGGUUCAUGAUUACAUCCUUCCACGCCUUCCUCAGUGCAAACAGCAA
rnacentral:lncRNA from 10 species